ACGGAGGGUGCAAGCGUUGUUCGGAAUUACUGGGCGUAAAGCGCGCGUAGGCGGCGCUAUAAGUCAGAUGUGAAAGUCCAUGGCUCAACCAUGGAAGUGCAUUUGAAACUGUAGUGCUUGAGUACUGGAGGGGGUAGUGGAAUUCCCGGUGUAGAGGUGAAAUUCGUAGAUAUCGGGAGGAAUACCGGUGGCGAAGGCGACUACCUGGCCAGAUACUGACGCUGAGGUGCGAAAGCGUGGGGAGCAAACAGG
rnacentral:rRNA from 1 species